rnacentral:rRNA from 1 species
CAGCAGCCGCGGUAAAACGGAGGGUGCAAGCGUUAAUCGGAAUUACUGGGCGUAAAGCGCACGCAGGCGGUUUGUUAAGUCAGAUGUGAAAUCCCCGAGCUUAACUUGGGAACUGCAUUUGAAACUGGCAAGCUAGAGUCUUGUAGAGGGGGGUAGAAUUCCAGGUGUAGCGGUGAAAUGCGUAGAGAUCUGGAGGAAUACCGGUGGCGAAGGCGGCCCCCUGGACAAAGACUGACGCUCAGGUGCGAAAGCGUGGGGAGCAAACAGGAUUAGAUACCCCGGUAGUCCCUGUCUCUUAACA